CGGAGGUACUCGAGUGGCGAACGGGUGAGUAACACGUGGGUGAUCUGCCCUGCACUCUGGGAUAAGCCUGGGAAACUGGGUCUAAUACCGGAUAGGACCGCACUUUAGUGUGUGUGGUGGAAAGUUUUUUCGGUGUAGGAUGAGCCCGCGGCCUAUCAGCUUGUUGGUGGGGUAAUGGCCUACCAAGGCGGCGACGGGUAGCCGGACUGAGAGGUCGGUCGGCCACAUUGGGACUGAGAUACGGCCCAG
rnacentral:rRNA from 1 species